AUGGCCACUUAUGGACUACUCUCAAAGCAUGAAUCUCCACAACCACACCAGCUGACGACAAGCACCCCCCGAGCCGCUACAAGCACAACCCCCGGCUCAUGGAGCACAACAUCCCGAAGGAGCCCCAAUCGAAAACACAUUGACAAUCAGACACGACAACCGAAAAUGAAGAAAAAAGAAGAGAGGUGUAUUAUCAGUGCACGGUACCGCGCGGCCGAUGACAUUGACUUGCAUUCAGAUGGCACGACAAAACCAGAUGUAGCGGUGCAAGCACCCAAACGUACAUCAACCACUGUUCGCCCCACAACCAAGCAACAAAGCAACUAUACUACUCAAGCCAUAUCAAUGGAUCUGGCAACCGGCGCAAUUGGCGACCUGCUCCCCAAGCUGGUCGAGCUCCUCAAGGGGGAGUACAAGCUGAAGGAGAAUGUCAGGGAAGGCGUCAUGUCUCUUGAGAGAGAGAUGAGGAGCAUGCACGCUGCUCUCCGCAAGGUGGCAGAGGUGCCACGGGACCAGCUUGACGAGAAGGUCAAGCUCUGGGCAGGGGAGGUGAGGGAGCUGUCCUUUGACAUGGAAGACGUCGUUGACAAGUUCCUGGUGCGUGUCGAUGACGGCUCCAAGCCUGCACCCAACUCGAAGAAGCUCAAACAGCUCACGAAGAUGAUGGUCGGCUUGUUCACCAAAGGGAAGGAUCACCAUGAGAUCAUUGACGCGAUCGAGGACAUCAAUAAGCAAGUCCAAGAGGUUGCUAACAUGCACGGAAGGUACCCCACUGACAAUAUUGUCACUACUCCUGCAGCGGUGGCUCCCAUCGAUCCUCGUCUUGGGGCUUUGUACACAGAAGUAACAGAGCUUGUUGGCAUUGCUGGAAAAAGGGAUCAAGAUCUAAUGAAGUUGCUCUCGGAGGGAGACAAUGUGUCCAAGAAAAAGUUGAAGAUUAUCACUGUUGUCGGAUCUGGAGGAUUGGGCAAGACCACUCUUGUCAAAAUGGUUUAUGACAAGAUCAAAGAAGAUUUCGAUUGCAGUGCGUUUGUUCCCGUCGGUCGAAAUGCUGACGCAAAGAAGAUUCUCCUGAACAUUCUUUGUGAUCUUGACACGUACGUAGGUCUGAUCACCAUGUUGGAUGUAAGAGAACUAAUCAACAAACUCAAGGAAACUCUCGAAAACACGAGGUACCUCAUUGUAAUUGAUGAUAUAAGGGAUGAAAAACUAUGGAAAAUAAUCAAAGGGGCAUUCUCUAAUAGCAACAAUUGUGGUAGUCGGUUAAUCAUGACAACUCGUAUAGUCAAUGUAGCUAAAUUAUGUUGCUCAUGUGCUGAUGAUUCAAUCUAUCAAAUGGAGCCACUUAGUGAUGAUGAUUCCAAAAGGCUCUUCUAUAAAAAGAUAUUUUCUCACCAGAGUGGUUGUCCUCUUGAAUUUGAAGAAGUGUCCAUACAUAUAUUGAAGAAAUGUGGUGGAGUACCAUUAGCCAUCAUUACUAUAGCUGGUAUCUUGGUUAUUAAUCAUCACUGUGAAGAUCCACAAACUAGUCUAUUUGAGAUCGGAGAAAAUUACCUCAAUGAGCUUGUGGAUAGGAGCUUGAUCCAGCCGGAAUAUUUUGAUGGGUUUGUAAUUGCUUGUCGUGUACACAAUAGUGUUCUUGAUUUAAUUUGCUCCAUGUCAACUGAAGAGAACUUUACUACUAUACUGAAUGAUACUCGGGAUAGCAUUUCUUGUAAAAGAAAGGUCUGUAGGCUAUCCCUCCAAAAUAGUAUCAAGGAAGAACAUCAAAAUACACAUCUCAAAUCUGCAAGGUCUAUUGCUACAUUUGAUGAUGUUGAUAUUGGUGUCAUGCCUCAUUUCUCAAGGUUUCUUUUUUUGCGUGUAUUGGAUUUGACUGAAUGUGAUGUUAGUGAUCAUAACCAUCUUAACAUUCGGGAGUUGUGGAGUUUACUUCAGCCGAGGUACCUAGGCCUAUACAAAUCAGGAAUUUCUGAGGUCCCAGAAGAAGUUGGAAAGUUGCAGUUUUUGCAGGUGCUGGAUUUGAGAGGGAAUUAUGAUAUCACAGAACUCCCAUCGGCAAUUAUUAAGCUCAGAAGAUUGAUGUGCCUACAAAUUGAUUCUUCCUGCAGUCGGAUACCAGAUGGAAUUGGAAACCUGAUAUCAAUGGAAAAUCUCGGUUCUAUCUGUGGUGACUGUCUAGGCACUGUGAAAGAUUUGGCCAACGUGGAAAGACUAAGGCACCUCAAUAUUUGCUUUAAUGUUAUGAGCUUGGAGUUGGAGCAAGCUCUCGUGGAGUCAUUAGGGAAAUUACACAACAUCCAGAGUGUACAUAUUUGGUUCCUUGGUUAUCAACAUUAUGUAUUCAUGGAUCUCCUGGGGGGAGAUUGGGCGCCCUCCCAAAGUCUUCGCGAAUUUUCUGCACUGUACAGGCUCGUCUUCACCAAACUACCGACAUGGUUAAGGCGGAACCCCUCGCAUCUCUCACAGCUCACUAAGUUAAAUAUCAUUGUCGACGAAGUGCGGCAGGAGGAUCUUGACUUCCUUGGAAGGUUACCGGCCCUCCGUGACCUCUCCUUGGAGACAAUGCGCCAAGAUCCGUUACUCCCACAAGCUUUGCCCAAGACUGAAGAUGUUGAUAUCUUGAUAUAUUUCCGUGCUGCCAACGGCCGUGAUUGGUUUGAGCUCGGCUUGGAGAACCUGCAGUCCCUUCGGAUGGUCACAGUCCAAAUCCGUUUGUCGCCGGGAGUGAUAUGCGGCGCCCGGGCCGAGCAAGGGAAGGCUACUUUGGAAAACGAACUCCAUGCCCAUCCUAAUCGUCCCAAAGUUUUGGCUCUCGUGAUGAUGACAUCAUGCUAUCGGACGACUGAUUCGGGGUGA
rnacentral:rRNA from 1 species